rnacentral:rRNA from 1 species
CCUACGGGGGGCAGCAGUGAGGAAUAUUGGUCAAUGGACGAGAGUCUGAACCAGCCAAGUAGCGUGAAGGAUGACUGCCCUAUGGGUUGUAAACUUCUUUUAUAUGGGAAUAAAACGUUCCACGUGUGGGAUUUUGUAUGUACCAUAUGAAUAAGGAUCGGCUAACUCCGUGCCAGCAGCCGCGGUAAUACGGAGGGUGCAAGCGUUACUCGGAAUCACUGGGCGUAAAGAGCGCGUAGGCGGGUUAUCAAGUCAGCGGUAAAAUCGUGGAGCUCAACUCCAUCCAGCCGUUGAAACUGAUGAUCUUGAGUGGGCGAGAAGUAUGCGGAAUGCGUGGUGUAGCGGUGAAAUGCAUAGAUAUCACGCAGAACUCCGAUUGCGAAGGCAGCAUACCGGCGCCCGACUGACGCUGAAGCACGAAAGCGUGGGUAUCGAACAGGAUUAGAUACCCUAGUAGUC